CGAGUAUGUUUUCCUGGCACUAUAGUGGUCCUUUAACCAUAUACUUUGGAUAGUAUAUUUUUUCAUUUGUAUGGCGUUUUAUAGCUUUCCCAUUUUGCUGUUCUCUAUGUCUAUACAUUGUAUAAAAUUGUAUUAUGUUAUUUCCGGAUUACCUCACUAGUUACAAUACAUGGUUCUCUUUUGGGGCCACUUCUCUACUGCAAUGUACAUAUUAUUCCUAAGAAACCAUACAAAAAAAGUUCCUUGUUUUUGCAGAUAGCAGACUAAUCUAUUUUUUGAUCUAAAAGACAAGUUUGCAAAAAGACAAGGUGGACCUCUAGGAACACAGGGUCAUCUUUCAGUUAAUCGCACUUACAUUUGGCACUGAAUUGUACCUUGCCAUUCAUCUUUUGCCCCUGAAUCUGAUGGCCUCUUUACUGUAACCCAAGCCCAAAGAUAACACAGAGUUCCACAGAUUCCCAUGUCUGAAUAUAUUCUGUGGGACUAUGGAAAACCUGCACGUUCACUUACUCAUUCAGUAUGACCGUGACAAAGGUCUACGUAAUGUGAGAAUUUGGGGUAAAUCUAAAAACACGUCAACUGUUUUUGUUUUUUUUCAUUCUUUAUUUUUUGCCGAUCUUGGCAAGGUCAUCAAGUAGAACAAUCCAGUCUUCAGUAACAUAAGUAUGAUACAUUUUGACAAUACUUUGAUUGCGCAGUUAAUGCAACUUAAUUGUUAUAUGCAUACCUGUAACUUUAGAAGUUGAGACGUUUGGCAGCGGUUAUUGAGGUUGGGUCUAUUCUUCAGGUACGUACAAUCGUACGUGUCUAUUUGCUGAUGUAACCAAGCCCAGCGGAGUUUCAAGUGGCAGUAGGCCAAGUCGGAAGAUGCAUUAUUUUACUGGCAAUACAUAUUGACAAUAGUGCAAUGAAUACGUAUGUCACUGCGUUUAUUUUGGACUCGCCUUAUGAGGAUUUUUCUGUUUCAUUUUUCUUUCUGGUAUACGUGUUUCAGUG